UGCGUUUGUUCGGGCCUUCUCUCUGAAAUCUCUAUCAGUGCUUCUAAAUGGCAUAGGCGUGGGCAUCGGUGAUGGCUCAGUAGAUCUAAACCUGUCGGAAAAUCUGAGCAAUUGGAAAAUGUUUGUGCUCGCUCACCUCCUGACAAAGGAAACAAUAACUAACACAGUGGGAAGCUGCAGCUAUCUUCUGACACAUUAUGUUUCUAGCCCCAAAAUGUCACCUGCAACCCACAGAAGGGAGAUGAAUGAAAACCAGCAGUGGCCCUGAAACACACCAAAGGAGAAAAAAAAAAUCCAGCUGUAAAAUCGACUGAGAUUUCUUUAAAGCCCAACACGCUGUUGACGGCGGACUUUCGCCGAGUCUGAGCUUGUAUUCUCUUGUAAGGUCAAGGGUCUUCUAAUUGACCAGGCAGGGGAACUUAAGUCUCUAAUUUGAGGAGUAACUGCAGCAUGUGACUUCUUUGCAGGAAGUCCCGAGAGAGAAAAGCUAGGUAAAUCUUAGGAUGGUUUUCACAUGAAAAUGCAAAGAUUCCGAGUGUAUAAUGUUUUAAACAGAGGUGACCCAGGAAUUCACCUUGUCCUUUGGAGUCGAUUCUACACAUUUUACAGGGAGUGUCCUGUGGUAUUAGCAGGAGGAUUCCUUAGAGCUUGUAUAGGUUGAAUGCAGGUGAUGAGGAGGUAUGAUUUAUUAUUUAUUAUGAUUUAUUAACUUCACACUAACAUUCUUCUUAGAACUUUCCCAAAUAGCUAGUUUUGGAAAUCACGCGAUCUUUCUCAAAUAUAAAUAUUACUUAAUUAACCAAAUUAAAAACAUAUGUUUAUUAAAUCUGAGGUGGGGCUGAUGGAGGUGGGGGAGGGUAGUUGAAGGAUCAUCAGGGAUGGGAGAGGCACGCCAGAGGAGUGAAAACACAUUUUAUGUAUGGAUUAAAAUUCUGCAAAGAGACUGACGAGCAUAUGCUUUAAAAAUCUUAGAUUAUUUGAGCUAAUGACAUAACUGUGGGACUCUUUAGAGUGAAGUUACUAGCAAUCAGGAAAUAAAAACCAUAAUUGAAUUUAAUGUAUCUGCCAGACCAUAGAAUGUCCCGUUUCUCCUAGUUUCCCAUAUUCCUGCUUGGUUUGUUUUGUUCUGGCAGAUAUUGAAAACGGUGAUAUCUUCUGAACAAAUACUGAACAAAAGUAACUUAAAAUUUGUUUAUUUGUGACAGUGCCUUAUGUGACCCAACUGAAUCCAACUCAUUAAAAAAUUUGAUCCUCCUGCCCCUACCUUCCAGGGCAGAGAAGCACCCUAGGCCCAACAGAUGCCACAUAGAAUGCCAACUUAUAUUUACACUUUUUAUUUUUCUACUUUGAAUUACCACAAACCAAGUUUCAUACCUGAUUUCCCAUUUCAGAAAGAGGAUGCUACUGCAUUGGGUUAUUGCUUAAUCAUGUAUUAUCAUCUUCUCAAUAAUAUUCACAACAAACUCACAGACAACUGAGGUCACCCUGUAAGGUUGUAAAGAUGAUUUACAAUCAGUUGGGAAGGUAUAAUAUGAAGAUUCAAAGGCGAGGAGCUAGCAAGAAGAGGCUUUAUCCUACCUGGUAAGGUCAUCUAUUAUAUUCAUUUGAACGGGAGCAUUCCAUUUUAAAAUUAAAUAAAAUAUGAGAUAGGAAAUUAUAUAGGCACCUUGGUUUCAUUUCCUGUUGUUGGGAUAAAACAAAACAAAACAAAAAAAAAAAACAAAAAAAAAAAAAAAACGACAAAAGCAACUUCCAGCAGAAAGGGCUUAUUUGGCUCACAAUUGCAGGUUAUGCUCUGCCUAUCAUCAUGAGGGAUUCAAGGAGGGAUUCAAGCUGGCAGCAGGCAGCAUGUUACAUCCAUAAUCAAGAGCACAGGGCAGUGGAUUGAUGUGCACAUGCCAGUAGAGCCCAGCACACCUUUUCUAUUUUUAUACAGUCCACAAUUCCCUAGAAAAUGUUUCCACCCACAAUGUGUGGGUCUUCUCACCUCAGUUAGCUUGGUCAAGACAAUUCCGUACAACAUGCCCCAAGUCAACCUGCUUUAGACAGUCCGCCAUUGAGACUCCCAUCCCUGGCAGAGGGGCUUAGGAGCUUUUCAUAUUUGUAAUUGCUGCAUUAUUGUCUUUUUUAAAAAGAACACUUAGGUAUAAUUUCUCAUAUCUUUCUUUUUUAUAGGUAUAAGAUUUCAGUAAAGGAAAGUCAACCUCAUCACAGAGUGUGGAUGCUGGUGGAUUACGUGCACAGACCAACCUGUGUCAGCCUUUGUUGAUAUGUUCGGUAUGAUUGGUAUGAUUUAGGUGCUAAUAGAAUAAUUUAACAUAUAUCGAGAGUGUGCAAUAUUAAGUUAGGUAAGCAGACCCAGUUGUAUCCCAUCACUGUUGUAUGAUUAAUAAUUGGACCAGCAAUGAACUUUCUCUGAUUUUCUACGCACGUGGAGCUGCCAGAGACCAGUAACUGUUCCAUGAUUAUUAAUAAAACAACUCUUCUCAAAAGCGAGUCUUCCCUGACUUUCCUUUCCCUCUCACUUGAGAUCUCUCUGGCAGGAAACAUGCCAUGAUAUAUCAAGCACUCAGCAGAAAUUCAUAGGAAACAUUACACAUUUACAACCCCCUUUUAUUCUGUAAAACUUCAUUUUAGUCAUGUAGGCAUUAUGUUAUACUCUGAUAUUUUAGCAGUAGUUGGCACAAUAUAUUACCAGAGAAAUAUGUUAGAAAUGGAAAAGGAACAAGGCUUUGGAUGAUUAAGUUAUAUUAACAGCUUUCUCAGGCUUUAUUUAAAAAUUGAUACAAUAAAUGUCACUUUAAAUAUUUUAUAAUAUAUUUAAUCUAGAGGAGCAGGGGUUUUACAAUUUAUUAUCGAACAUAGUAUUACUUAACAAAGUUUCUUGUAGAAAAUUUAUUAGUGUGUAGAAUAAAGAAAAAUAAAUGUGUGUGUCCCGCUUUUUUGCUACAUGUAAAAUUGUUUGGUACAUUAAAAUAAAUAAAUAAAUAAAUAAAUAAAUAAAUACCUAACAUGCACUAAUCAAAUUAGUAAAUGAUUUUGUGAGGUCCUAGUUCAUAAGGGAUUUAAACCUUUCUCUUGGGAUGUUGACUGCUUCCAGAUUAUGCAACAAAACAAACUAAUUAAUUGGAUCUAUCCAUCCACCCAUCAAUUGAUCUGUGAUCUACUCCUUCAUCUAUGUUGGUUACAUUUUUGUCAACUUGACAGAAGCUAGAGUCAUCUAUGAAUUGGGAAUGACAGUUGGAGAACCGCACCCAUCAAAUUGGUCUGUAAACAAGUCUGCAGACCAUUUUCAUGAUUGGUGACUGAUGUGUGGCACUGUGGGAAGUGCCACCCACAGCAGUGAAGUGACCAUGCAGAUCAGAAUAACAAAAUGUCAUUCCUAUGAAGAGAUGUAGCAUAAGAGUGCUAUGGAACACCAGGUACAGAAGCCAAGGAGCAUUUUAGAAGCCUUCCACUGAUAGCAGAGAUGGAACCAUUUUACAGACAUUGCUCUGACUGAGAAAUUGUUAGUACAAUGCUCUGAGUUCUUCCUCAUUGAGGAGUAUCGGCUGGAUCGUCUCAUGAAUCAGGUGGACUUAUGUUGGAGGGUGACAUGGAGUAGGUUUGGGGGAAGGUUAGUAUAGUUCAUAUCACUUAUAGCCUGGAAGCAGUUUCAAUGACGAGGAACUAAUUUUUCACUUUCUGUCAACUGCUUUGUCCUGAAUGUGUAUAGAGCUUGAUGCUGGUCUCUACAUUAAAAGUUCUGUGUUAUGAAGAU
ensembl:lincRNA Gm37041 predicted gene, 37041